CGGCGGACGGGUGAGUAAUGCCUAGGAAUCUGCCUGGUAGUGGGGGAUAACGUUCGGAAACGAACGCUAAUACCGCAUACGUCCUACGGGAGAAAGCAGGGGACCUUCGGGCCUUGCGCUAUCAGAUGAGCCUAGGUCGGAUUAGCUAGUUGGUGAGGUAAUGGCUCACCAAGGCGACGAUCCGUAACUGGUCUGAGAGGAUGAUCAGUCACACUGGAACUGAGACACGGUCCAGACUCCUACGGGAGGCAGCAGUGGGGAAUAUUGGACAAUGGGCGAAAGCCUGAUCCAGCCAUGCCGCGUGUGUGAAGAAGGUCUUCGGAUUGUAAAGCACUUUAAGUUGGGAGGAAGGGUUGUAGAUUAAUACUCUGCAAUUUUGACGUUACCGACAGAAUAAGCACCGGCUAACUCUGUGCCAGCAGCCGCGGUAAUACAGAGGGUGCAAGCGUUAAUCGGAAUUACUGGGCGUAAAGCGCGCGUAGGUGGUUCGUUAAGUUGGAUGUGAAAGCCCCGGGCUCAACCUGGGAACUGCAUUCAAAACUGUCGAGCUAGAGUAUGGUAGAGGGUGGUGGAAUUUCCUGUGUAGCGGUGAAAUGCGUAGAUAUAGGAAGGAACACCAG
rnacentral:rRNA from 1 species